AAAAAGUCUUGAGCUCGGUGGAAACCUUGCAUCAGUCCAUGAUUCACACACUAGUGGUUUCCUCAAGUCCUUUCUGAGAAAAUGUGCUAGUGGCAUGCCCCGAACAUGGAUUGGUGCUCAUGAUGCAAUUAAGUGACUGGCUUACUGGUGAGCCAAAUGAUAAUGGAGGAAACGAAAAUUGUGUGGAGCUGGCCUAUGGAGCUGAGCAACGCUGGAAUGAUCUGGACUGUGCCACUCCUCUCAAUUUCAUCUGUUUGAUUUCUCUUCCUGCUUGUUAAUCUCGUCUGUCCAUCACCCGAGAGGAUUUGGUUUUUGGAUUAAUGUUAGUCUCUGCAAAAAUAAAAGUGAGGUGGACUUUAAACCGCAAA